UACGUAGGGACCAAGCGUUGUUCGGAUUUACUGGGCGUAAAGGGCGCGUAGGCGGCGUGUUAAGUCAGCUGUGAAAUCUCCGAGCUUAACUCGGAACGGUCAGCUGAUACUGAUGUGCUAGAGUGCAGAAGGGGCAAUCGGAAUUCUUGGUGUAGCGGUGAAAUGCGUAGAUAUCAAGAGGAACACCUGAGGUGAAGACGGGUUGCUGGGCUGACACUGACGCUGAGGCGCGAAAGCUAGGGUAGCAAAC
rnacentral:rRNA from 1 species